GCGGCAACAGCUCAGAGGUAGAGCCCCCGCUUCCCUUCGGGGAGACCCGGGUUCGAUUCCCGGCUGCUUCC
rnacentral:tRNA from 1 species